AGAACGAACGCUGGCGGCAUGCCUAACACAUGCAAGUCGAACGAGACCUUCGGGUCUAGUGGCGCACGGGUGCGUAACACGUGGGAACAUACCCUUCGGUUCGGAAUAACUCAGGGAAACUUGAGCUAAUACCGGAUACGUCCUGGCGGAGAAAGAUUUAUCGCCGAAGGGUUGGCCCGCGUCCGAUUAGCUAGUUGGUGAGGUAACGGCUCACCAAGGCGACGAUCGGUAGCUGGUCUGAGAGGAUGAUCAGCCACACUGGGACUGAGACACGGCCCAGACUCCUACGGGAGGCAGCAGUGGGGAAUAUUGGACAAUGGGCGCAAGCCUGAUCCAGCCAUGCCGCGUGAGUGAUGAAGGCCCUAGGGUUGUAAAGCUCUUUCGUCAGGGACGAUAAUGACGGUACCUGAAGAAGAAGCCCGGCUAACUUCGUGCCAGCAGCCGC
rnacentral:rRNA from 1 species